GAUGAACGCUGGCGGCGUGCCUAACACAUGCAAGUCGAGCGUGAACCGUCUGAAUGAAACUUCGGUCGAGUGAGGAUGGGGAAAGCGGCGGACGGGUGAGUAACGCGUAGGCAACCUGCCCCGUACAGAGGGAUAGCCUCGGGAAACCGGGAUUAAGACCUCAUAAUACCAUUAUCUCACAUGUGAUAAUGGUCAAAGAUUUUAUCGGUAUGGGAUGGGCCUGCGUCUGAUUAGCUGGUUGGUGGGGUAACGGCUCACCAAGGCGACGAUCAGUAGCCGACCUGAGAGGGUAAUCGGCCACAUUGGAACUGAGACACGGUCCAAACUCCUACGGGAGGCAGCAGUGGGGAAUAUUGCACAAUGGGCGAAAGCCUGAUGCAGCAACGCCGCGUGAGCGAGGAAGGCCUUUGGGUCGUAAAGCUCUGUCGAGGAGGAAGAUAAUGACGGUACUCCUCGAGGAAGCCCCGGCUAACUACGUGCCAGCAGCCGCGGUAAACAUA
rnacentral:rRNA from 1 species